GCUGGCCUGACGCAUAUACAACUCCUUGACGUGACGCACAGCUGCACAGUACCUCACUGGCUCUACGAUAGAUCUCUUCAUCUGCUUUUGUGACGCUGAGACGCUUAAGCAACCCGUGACGGUGUAACCAAAACCGGAAAAAAUGGGAAAAGUCGAGCAAAAGCCUAGGAAAGGAUGUUUCGCACAGUGUAUGGAGCCGAUCCUAUGCAGCUGUUACGGCUGCAUGGCACGGCUGCUGACCAACGUGUUCCUGUGCGUGCUGACGUGCUUUCUGGUGUACGUUGGCUUUCUACACUUUCUGCGCGGCAAGGAUGCGGGCGAAGCGUUCAAGAACGCGUUCCGAGAUUUCGUCGGCCUCUUCUGGAGCAGUUCGUGAUGUGGUCGGUUUGGUCAGUGAUUGCGAACCAUUAAAGUGAUAAGUGUGAACGCGUAACAGGUUACGUAACCGGUCGUGUAGUGCGUAAGAAAGUGCCCUCAUCGCGCAGUAGUGGCGAUUUCGAUUUUGUGUUAAGUGUAGUAAUGAAAAUGAAGAGCACCGAGAAGAGGAAAAGAUUGCAAUGGAACGUCAACUCAGUGAAUAAUCCAGUAUGGGACUACUCUAUUCUACCAAAGCAGUAUCUUUAGAAAACCAAAUGUCUCACUUUACACAAUCUUUUAAUGGACGUGACGGCGAGUAGUGCAGUGUUUCUUAUUUUUAAGCCAAAUCAACGCAAACUCUCCUCUCUGCGCAAAUUGCUACCGAAUCAUAGUGAAUCAGUUACGGAGUUUCCACUGAGUGGGAAAAGUGACGAAAAUACUGCACUGUGCCCAAGAUUUUAGGUGUGACAUUCCUAAACACUGACCGGCGCGGUAAUGAACGAUGAACGACGACGGCGUGUAGCAGCAAAGCAGAGGGAACCACAAUCUAGUGAAUUAUACCCAAAAAUGAUGCUCAAAUCAAUGUAUAUCUAUGCAUAAUCUUGAUAUGCCGUGUGAUUAGCUCUUAUAUGUACUUAAGUGUUUGAAGCAGAAUGUCUAAAUUAUUGUACACACAGACAAAUACGAUAAGCCCCUUGAAUAAAAUCCACCCUCGAACGAAACGAAACGGUGGAUUGAGUGUUUUGUGUGAUUCAAAUUUACAUAAUGCGAUAAGAGAUAGUUAAUUCGAAAGAAAGGUAGUGAGUGUGCCGCUUAUGUUUACCUCUUUGCGUGGAUUAAUCAUAUACAUGUACUGGUAAAUAUUGGGAUUGAAUUUCGAUCGUUUUCGUUUCCAAAUUAAGCUAUUGAAGCUUGAACUACAUGCUCGUCAGUACUGUAUCGGCUCGCAACGUUACUACACAGCAUUUCUUCCAAAAAGCAAAAAUGUCUGAAUUCUUGCCGGGAUGUUACUGCCAGUGUCUGGAUCCGUUGUAUUGCGGAUGCUCAUACCGUACGCAAAUUUUCAUUAACAGGGUUCUUAGUUUCAUAUUUUUCCUACUGGUGGUGUACUACUUAUAUCUGUUGGUGGACGGAUACGGUCCUGCUGACGCGUUCGUGGAGGUUUUCGAUGGAAUUGGUGACUUUUUCAGAUACAUUUUCCGCGGAACGAAAAAACUGUGGCCGUUUUAAGCGUUUGCUGCGAGUCGGUGCAUUGCGUAAAGAAGCGAUACCAAGCUGAGGAAGAUAAAUCGCAACAUAAAGAAGCUAUGGGGCAAGGGCUUGGAGUGAAUCCAUUUUUGGGCGCACAGCAAAUGUCACAAUAAAUCACAUUUAGAUUAGAUUA